UACGUAGGUGACAAGCGUUAUCCGGAUUUAUUGGGCGUAAAGCGCACGCAGGCGGCUCUUCAAGUCUGACGUGAAAUCUCUCGGCUUAACCGGGAGCGGUCGUUUGGAAACUGCAGGGCUAGAGUCCUGGAGAGGAAGGUGGAAUGCUUGGUGUAGAGGUGAAAUUCGUAGAUAUCAAGCGGAACACCGGUGGCGAAGGCGGCCUUCUGGACAGUGACUGACGCUGAGACGCGAAAGCGUGGGGAGCAAACAGG
rnacentral:rRNA from 1 species